rnacentral:rRNA from 1 species
UACGUAGGGUGCGAGCGUUGUCCGGAAUUAUUGGGCGUAAAGAGCUCGUAGGCGGUGUGUCACGUCGGCCGUGAAAACCUGGGGCUUAACUCUGGGCGUGCGGUCGAUACGGGCAUCACUAGAGUUCGGCAGGGGAGACUGGAAUUCCUGGUGUAGCGGUGGAAUGCGCAGAUAUCAGGAGGAACACCGGUGGCGAAGGCGGGUCUCUGGGCCGUUACUGACGCUGAGGAGCGAAAGCGUGGGGAGCGAACAGG